ACUAGACCAGGUUUCUGUGCCAUUGUUUGUUUUACCAAAGGUGAACCCGGGCUGGUUAGGCCACUGAAAAUCAGCUCACAGCAGGAGCAAAGAACCCUUCAGCUCACCGGGAAGCACAGAAUGUCUGCGUCUCUGAAAUGCUUCCAGAACAGAGGGAGCCUUGUGCAAGCCCCAGAACAGCUGGCCUUCCCAGCGGUUUGCCGCCCAGUCCAGAGCCCCUGGAGCUGCCCCGCAGGCGAGAUGCCCAGAGGGAGAGUGAGGCCACCACAACCCCUCCAUCAGAGGCUUUUUGCGAGGACAGAUGUGCUGCACAAGAGAAGCACUGGGGAGCCCACAGCAAGCCCAGUGACGGCCACACAGCCAGAGGGUGCGGCCUUCCUGCCUGGCAUCUCAGCACCAGCCACACGUCACAGCAUGCUCAUCUGCCCUGUGCAUGCCUGAGAGCACACCGACAGCCCCUGGCCUUCCACGGCCAAUCACUAGCCUGCACAGGGCCCAACCUCCUCCUGGAACCAGGGUGUUCUAUCUGGGGAUGGGGGACUGGGGCUUGGGGGGCUCAUUGACAUCACCUUCGUGUGCCCUAAAGUGGCUCUUGGUCAUCCUCAACCAGGAAUCCACAGCCCCUAGAGUCCUCAGCCCUUAGACAGACUUCAGGGGGAAUAAAAGCCCUCAAACUCUAUGCUACAUGGAGUUGUGGAGGUGUGACAGUGAACAUUUUGGAAGAGUCCAUCUUUGUUACCCUUCUCUGCUUUAUUUUCUUAAAAGCAUUUAAUUCACUCUGUAA